rnacentral:tRNA from 1 species
GUAGGUAUAGCUCAGUGGCAGAGCACAUGCCUAGCAAGCACAAGGUCCUGGGUUCAAUCCCCAGUACUUCCA